rnacentral:rRNA from 1 species
AGCAGCCGCGGUAAUUCCAGCUCCAAUAGCGUAUAUUAAAGUUGUUGCAGUUAAAAAGCUCGUAGUUGAAUUUCGGGAUCAAGGAAUCGGUCAUGCCUCGGUAUGUACUGGUUUUAUUGGUUCUCACCUUCUAAAGAACCAUGAUGUCAUUCAUUUGAUGUUAUGGGGAAUUAGGACUGUUACCUUGAAAAAUUAGAGUGUUUAAAGCAGGCUUACGCUUGAAUACAUUAGCAUGGAAUAAUGAAAUAGGACAUCAGAUUCUAUUUUGUUGGUUUCUAGGAUCGAUGUAAUGAUUAAUAGGGAUAGUUGGGGGCAUUAGUAUUCAAUUGUCAGAGGUGAAAUUCUUGGAUUUAUUGAAGACUAACUACUGCGAAAGCAUUUGCCAAGGAUGUUUUCAUUAAUCAAGAACGAAAGUUAGGGGAUCGAAGACGAUCAGAUACCGUCGUAGUCUUAACCAU